rnacentral:lncRNA from 1 species
GUUCAUCUUAGAAGCUACAGCCUUCUGAUAAAGUCUGAAACCACUGCCAAUCAAGUUGCCUUGAAAUGAAAUUUAUAAGGGAUGAAGGCAUAAAAUCCAGCUUGAUAUCCAAAUUCCCUAUUGCUCGGAAAUAACUUCUUUCUGAUGUCACCUUUUGUAUAACAACCUUCCAACAAAUCAAUUCUCACAACACCCUUUGCUUCUGGAAUCACAUCAUUGUUGAAGCCAUCAUCAAUAGUCUCAUUAAUUUUCUCUGACUCAAUGACCGUUUUCAAAAGAACAACUAUCAAGUCAUCUUGAAUGUACUCAAACAGAUAAUAAUGCGCUAUAGCCUCCCUUGUAGACAGUGGCCGUGGAGGCUUCAUCCUUA